GCUAAGUCGGAUCCUACAGAAGUAAACAUUCUUGCGGAGUUUCUGAAUGUAGAACCUAAGUGUUCUUGCUUCUUCUCCAGCCAGGGAGUUUUGUCAUGCAUACUAACCAGGAGCUCAAGGGUUAUAAAGAAAAAGACCACCGUAAACCACUAAGCAAGAGGAAACAAACAGCUACUUCUAAUAGCGCUGCUGGAGACACUAGUAGUAGAAAAAGGGAUUUCAGUUAAUAAUUCACCUCUUCAGUGCAGCCUGAAUCCUGUCUGCUGCUCACUUAUGAUAUGAUUCAACAGUAUACAAAGAAGUGUUGGACAAUUAAGGAGGACGCCUACCACCAUUCUUCAACUCGACAUGUAGGCGCAAAGGGACAACAGGCUCAGCGACCAAGACUUAAUCGCUGCAAUGCAAUCUGUACAAGUCCUUAGAGGUAAUUUUGGGAAGAAAAUCUGAAAGGAAUUGCUGCCAGUAAGAGGGAAAAAAUUCCAUCCAGAGAAAAACACCAAUGGUAAUAUAUUUUCUUUACAUAUCCAAUAACAUUUUAUGAGACAGCUUUGUGAAAGCAGAUAUUGUCUGAUAUUUUUUAAACAGCCAUUUGAAUAAACAGAAUGUCUUUACUGACAUGUAAAUUUAUAAUUAGAGUUUCAUGUGUAAUGACUAUAUUAAUUCUUAUUUAAUAGCUUCUGAACAG
rnacentral:lncRNA from 1 species